rnacentral:rRNA from 1 species
UACGGAAGGGGCUAGCGUUGCUUCGGAAUCACUGGGCGUAAAGGGUGCGUAGGCGGGUCUUAAGUCAGGGGUGAAAUACCUGGAGCUCAACGAUCCAGAACUGCCUUUGAUACGUGAAGAUCUUGAGUUCGGGGAGGAGGUGAGGUGGAACUGCGAGUGUAGAGGUGAAAAUUCGUAGAUAUUCGCAAGAACAACCAGUCGGCGAAGGGCGGACUCGACUGGCCCGUA